UGGGGAAUAUUGGACAAUGGGCGAAAGCCUGAUCCAGCCAUGCCGCGUGUGUGAAGAAGGUCUUCGGAUUGUAAAGCACUUUAAGUUGGGAGGAAGGGCAGUAAGCGAAUACCUUGCUGUUUUGACGUUACCGACAGAAUAAGCACCGGCUAACUCUGUGCCAGCAGCCGCGGUAAUACAGAGGGUGCAAGCGUUAAUCGGAAUUACUGGGCGUAAAGCGCGCGUAGGUGGUUCGUUAAGUUGAAUGUGAAAGCCCCGGGCUCAACCUGGGAACUGCAUCCCAAACUGGCGAGCUAGAGUAGGGCAGAGAGUGGUGGAAUUUCCUGUGUAGCGGUGAAAUGCGUAGAUAUAGGAAGGAACACCAGUGGCGAAGGCGACCACCUGGGCUCAUACUGACACUGAGGUGCGAAAGCGUGGGGAGCAAACAGG
rnacentral:rRNA from 1 species